GUUUGUGUUCAUUUACAGCAACAGUAAUCAUUUAAAUUAUUUGAGAUGGGACCAGGCAGAGUUUUCAGUUGCUUUGCUCUAGCAAUGUUCAUGCAAUAUUCCUGCAGUCAGACUCUUAUCGAGUCUGAUUCAGUGAUCAUCAAACCUGAUCAGUCUCAUAAACUGACCUGCACAGCUUCUGGAUUGGACAUUAGUAGCUCGUGGAUGGCUUGGAUCAGACAGGCGCCUGGAAAAGGGCUGGAAUUUGUUGCAAUUAUUGAGAGUGAUAGUGAUAGGAAGUUUUACUCCAAUGCAGUUAAUGGCCGCUUCACCAUCUCCAGAGACAACAGUAAGAAGCAGGUGUAUCUGCAGAUGAACAACGUGAGGACAGAAGACACUGCAGUGUAUUACUGCGCCCGUGACCCACAGUGAUACUUCUCCUUAGACAUCAGUACAAAAACACAUGCUUGCUAUAGUCACAUGACAAGAUCACAUUUUCAUAACCAGUGUAUUCAUGGAGGUCAAAGAAACAAAACGUUUUGAUUGUCUACUGUAUGACUGACAUGUUACCAUUUACUGACUUUUACUGCAUGUGGCUUGUUGUGAA